rnacentral:rRNA from 1 species
GACGAACGCUGGCGGCGUGCUUAACACAUGCAAGUCGAACGGAAAGGCCCUGCUUUUGUGGGGUGCUCGAGUGGCGAACGGGUGAGUAACACGUGAGUAACCUGCCCUUGACUUUGGGAUAACUUCAGGAAACUGGGGCUAAUACCGGAUAGGAGCUCCUGCUGCAUGGUGGGGGUUGGAAAGUUUCGGCGGUUGGGGAUGGACUCGCGGCUUAUCAGCUUGUUGGUGGGGUAGUGGCUUACCAAGGCUUUGACGGGUAGCCGGCCUGAGAGGGUGACCGGCCACAUUGGGACUGAGAAACGGCCCAGACUGCUACGGGAGGCAGAAGUGGGGAAUAUUGCACAAUGGGCGGAAGCCUGAUGCAGCAACGCCGCGUGCGGGAUGACGGCCUUCGGGUUGUAAACCGCUUUCGCCUGUGACGAAGCGUGAGUGACGGUAAUGUGUAAAGAAGCACCGGCUAACUACGUG